rnacentral:rRNA from 1 species
AUUGAACGCUGGCGGCAGGCCUAAUACAUGCAAGUCGAACGAGUGGCGGACGGGUGAGUAAUGUCUGGGAAACUGCCUGAUGGAGGGGGAUAACUACUGGAAACGGUAGCUAAUACCGCAUACCAUCGGAUGUGCCCAGAUGGGAUUAGCUAGUAGGUGGGGUAAAGGCUCACCUAGGCGACGAUCCAUAGCUGAUCUGAGAGGAUGACCAGCCAAACUGGAACUGGGACCCGGUCCAGACUCCUACGGGAGAGAGCAGUGGGGAAUAUUGCACAAUGGGCGCAAGCCUGAUGCAGCCAUGCCGCGUGUAUGAAGAAGGCCUUCGGGUUGUAAAGUACUUGCAGCGGGGAGGCGUUACCCGCAGAAGAAGCACCGGCUAACUCCUUGCCAGCAGCCGCGGUAAUAC